rfam:Candidatus Omnitrophica bacterium CG1_02_44_16 cg1_0.2_scaffold_68_c, whole genome shotgun sequence.
GCCGGGGUGGUGAAAUUGGCAAACGCACGGGAUUUAAAAUCCCGCGGCCGUAAGGCCUUGAGGGUUCAAGUCCCUCCCUCGGCA